UAACUAACAGACAUGAUCACAGAUCCAGCAGAAGCUGAAGUCAGUAGGACUGCUGGAUUAUUAUUCAGAGUGAUUGUGAUUAUUGUUGAGUUUGCAGCGUUUGCUGCUCCUACUGUGAUUCUUCUUCAGAUCAUCUGUACAAGAAGAGCUGGGAGGAAGGACUCGCAGCACCCAGAGGAAAUAGAGAUUAAUACAAUAUUAGAGUAAAAUACUCUACAAAUAACAGAUUACA